rnacentral:rRNA from 1 species
GACGAACGCUGGCGGCGUGCUUAACACAUGCAAGUCGAACGGAAAGGCCCUGCUUUUGUGGGGUGCUCGAGUGGCGAACGGGUGAGUAACACGUAAGUAACCUGCCCUUGACUUUGGGAUAACUUCAGGAAACUGGGGCUAAUACCGGAUAGGAGCUCCUGCUGCAUGGUGGGGGUUGGAAAGUUUCGGCGGUUGGGGAUGGACUCGCGGCUUAUCAGCUUGUUGGUGGGGUAGUGGCGUACCACGGCUAUGACGGGUAGCCGGCCUGAGAGGGUGACCGGCCACAUUGGGACUGAGAUACGGCCCAGAAUCCUACGGGCGGCAGCAGUGGAGAAUAUUGCACAAUGGGCGGAAGCCUGAUGCAGCAACGCCGCGUGCGGGAUGACGGCCUUCGGGUUGUAAACCGCUUUCGCCUGUGACGAAGCGUGAGUGACGGUAAUGGGUAAAGAAGCACCGGCUAACUACGUG